rnacentral:rRNA from 1 species
AUUGAACGCUGGCGGCAGGCCUAACACAUGCAAGUCGAGCGGGGUUUUCGGACCUAGCGGCGGACGGGUGAGUAAUGCGUAGGAAGCUACCCGAUAGAGGGGGAUACCAGUUGGAAACGACUGUUAAUACCGCAUAAUGUCUACGGACCAAAGUGUGGGACCUUCGGGCCACAUGCUAUCGGAUGCGCCUACGUGGGAUUAGCUAGUUGGUGGGGUAAUGGCUCACCAAGGCGACGAUCCCUAGCUGGUUUGAGGGGAUGAUCAGCCACACUGGAACUGAGACACGGUCCAGAAUCCUACGGGAGGCAGCAGUGGGGAAUAUUGGACAAUGGGCGCAAGCCUGAUCCAGCCAUGCCGCGUGUGUGAGGAAGGCCUUCGGGUUGUAAAGCACUUUCAGUAGGGAGGAAGGGUGUUGUGUUAAUAGCACAGCAUUUUGACGUUACCUACAGAAGAAGCACCGGCUAACUCUGUGCCAGCAGCCGCGGUAAAAC